AGCUCAAGUGGUAGAGCGCGUGCUUAGCAUGCAUGAGGUCCUGGGUUCAAUCCCUAG
rnacentral:tRNA from 1 species